AACGAACGCUGGCGGCGUGCUUAACACAUGCAAGUCGAACGUGAAAGUCCUUCGGGAUGAGUAAAGUGGCGCACGGGUGAGUAAUACAUAGGAACGUACCUACGGGUGGGGAAUAACGACGGGAAACUGUCGCUAAUACCGCAUAACAUCGAGAGAUUAAAGGGGGCGCGCGCAAGCAGCUCUCGCCUGUAGAUCGGCCUAUGUCCCACUAGCUAGUUGGUGAGGUAAAGGCUUACCAAGGCGACGAUGGGUAGCUGGUCUGAGAGGAUGAUCAGCCACACUGGAACUGAGACACGGUCCAGACUCCUACGGGAGGCAGCAGUGGGGAAUCUUGCACAAUGGGCGAAAGCCUGAUGCAGCAACGCCGCGUGGGCGAAGAAGGUUCUUGGAUUGUAAAGCCCUUUCGGCUAGAAAGAAGGGUCUCGUAAUUAAUACCUACGAGAUCUGACGGUACUAGAAGAAGAAGCACCGGCUAACUCCGUGCCAGCCGCCGCAGUAAAAC
rnacentral:rRNA from 1 species